rnacentral:rRNA from 2 species
UCGAUGAAGAACGCAGCGAAAUGCGAUAAGUAAUGUGAAUUGCAGAAUUCAGUGAAUCAUCGAAUCUUUGAACGCACCUUGCACUCCUUGGUAUUCCGAGGAGUAUGCCUGUUUGAGUCUC